GCGAGAGGCAACGGAGGGAGGCUGUUCCGCAUAGUGACUAGCCAAGUGUAGCGAAGAAGCUCCCAGAAGCAAGAACCUAUUUCCAUUUCCCUUCGAUUACCAUCCAAGAUGCAGCUGGGCUGUUCUAGUUCCCGCGAUAGGGAAAGCUUCCACCCUGGCCCGGAUGGAACAACCUACAUGAGGUGGCUCUCGGCGUCCGCGCGGGCGACCGGGGAGGCCGUAAAUCCGCGGCCCCACGUGACUUUCCGGGCUUCGCCUCUGGGACGGGAGUCAGCCUGGCGUUCGUUUCCGUGGGGUGCGUUUAGACCCACCCAGUGGGUCAAGUUUGCGGUGUGCUCCCGCGUUCCGAAGGUGCUCGCACAGAUUCUCAGUAGCACCCGCGCUUCUCUCUCUCGAAUUUUUCUGGAAAUAGCCUUGUGUUGGGAUCCCUCAGGGCAAUGAAGAAGCCACGUGGCUGAGUUUCUGCUCCGUCGCCCACUCCUGGUGAGCGGCCAAAACACCGAAAACGGCCCCCCGGCCUUCCAGCCGGAGCGCUGUCUACACUGGCUUUCUCUAUCCCACUUGCCCAGGCUGUCUUUACCGAAUUUUUUGCUACUUAAAUCAGCGGUAGCCGCAGUCAGUCAACGCCACCACCACUACAGAGAAUCAGAGACGAGCUGGGUUGGAAAUCCAUCUGGUCCGUUCCCAACCCACUUUACAGGAUCUCUGCAAAGCAUCAGUUUUGUUCAUUACACGCUUCACUAGUUGGUGAGAGGCCCUGUGGCAAGCCUAGCUCCCCUCUGAAAUGUCACCGGAAUGACCAGAGGAACCCAUCCAAGGCCCAGAGAGAGGAUCUGGAGACUUCAUGCAAACAGCUUAACCUCUCAGGUGCUGCCAUGGAACUUAAGGACCCAAGGCUUGUCACUUCAAGACUGGCAGUGACGGCACAACAGAGGGGACUCAGCUGGUGACUCUGCCACACCAGAUAUCCUGAGUAAUGGAGGCUUCCCUGAACACACUGGGCCUCCCCCGGCACCAGAGGACAGUCGCCUCCACUGUAACUGUGUAAGGAUAGGAGUACGGGACAAUCACCAGAGGCACAGGUUGUCCAGGGGGCAGGCAAGGACAGGAGCUAAGAGAUGUGUCUCCUGCUGGACAGAAGGCCCAAGUUGUCUGAGACAGUGCCUCCGAACAGGACUCCAGGUGAUCUGACAGUGGCCGUGGGGUGGACCCAUACAGUGGAUUUUCAUCAGGGAUGCAGCUUAUUAGGAAAGCAUCCAGGAACAUCCCUUCCCCAUCUGCAAUGUUUUAUUUUAAGACCCAACUCAAAAGCUACUCUGGGCCACUGCCCCCAACUCUCCCAGGAAGCUGUUGGUUCUUUUCCACAGCGCUCAGUUCUUCCUCUGUAACCUCCAUUGGCACCGUGCCGGUAGCUAAUCCCUUUGAGUAUCUGUCUGCACCAAACCUAAAAUCUUCGAGGUUAGAAGCUUGGUCGUAUCAUCUUUGUAUCUUAAGGCCCUAGCACCAUGUAGGCACCCAAGAGUUGAAUGUUUAUUAAUGAAUAAAUAAAUAAAUGAUGUCAUUUGCCCGGUUUCAUGUGAUAA